GAUGAACGCUGGCGGCGUGCCUAAUACAUGCAAGUCGAGCGAAGCGGGGACGGGUGAGUAACACGUGGAUAACCUCCUAUAAGACUGGGAUAACUUCGGGAAACCGGAGCUAAACCGGAUACUGAUCGAGGGCUCCGCGCUGCAUUAGCGAGUUGUGAAGGUAACGGCUUACCAAGGCUACGAUGCAUGGCCGACCUGAGAGGGUGAUCGGCCACACUGGAACUGAGACACGCUCAAGAGUCCUAAGGGAGGGACCAGUAGGGAAUCUUCCGCAAGUGGCGAAAGCCUGACGGAGCAACCCCGCGUGAGAGAUGAAGGUCUUCGGUUCGUAAAAAUCUGUUAUUAGGGAAGCGGUACCUAUUCAGAAAGCAACGGCUAACUACGUGCCAGCAGCCGCGGUAAUUC
rnacentral:rRNA from 1 species